rnacentral:rRNA from 1 species
GACGAACGCUGGCGGCGUGCUUAACACAUGCAAGUCGAACGGAAAGGCCCCUUUGGGGGUCCUCGAGUGGCGAACGGGUGAGUAACACGUGAGUAACCUGCCCUUGACUUCGGGAUAACUUCAGGAAACUGGGGCUAAUACCGGAUAGGAAUCCUUGCUGCAUGGUGGGGGUUGGAAAGCUUCGGCGGUUUUGGAUGGACUCGCGGCUUAUCAGCUUGUUGGUGGGGUAGUGGCUUACCAAGGCUUUGACGGGUAGCCGGCCUGAGAGGGCGACCGGCCACAUUGGGACUGAGGUACGGCCCAGACUCCUACGGGAGGAAGAAGUGGGGAAGAUUGCACAAGGGGCGGAAGCCUGAUGCAGCAACGCCGCGUGCGGGAUGACGGCCUUCGGGUUGUAAACCGCUUUCAGCAGGGGCGAAGCUUGUGGUGACGGUACCUGCAGAAGAAGCACCGGCUAACUACGUG